AUUUCCUUCGGGACUGAUUAUUUUGUGACUGAGUGGCGGACGGGUGAGUAACGCGUGGGUAACCUGCCUUGUACAGGGGGAUAACAGUUGGAAACGGCUGCUAAUACCGCAUAAGCGCACAGCAUCGCAUGAUGCAGUGUGAAAAACUCCGGUGGUACAAGAUGGACCCGCGUCUGAUUAGCUGGUUGGUGAGGUAACGGCCCACCAAGGCGACGAUCAGUAGGGGUUCUGAGAGGAAGGUCCCCACAUUGGAACUGAGACACGGUCCAAACUCC
rnacentral:rRNA from 1 species